rnacentral:rRNA from 1 species
UACGGAGGGUGCGAGCGUUAUCCGGAUUUAUUGGGUUUAAAGGGUGCGUAGGCGGACUGUCAAGUCAGCGGUAAAAUUGAGAGGCCCAACCUCUUCCCGCCGUUGAAACUGGUGGUCUUGAGUGGAUGAGAAGUACGCGGAAUGCGUGGUGUAGCGGUGAAAUGCAUAGAUAUCACGCAGAACUCCGAUUGCGAAGGCAGCGUACCGGCAUCCAACUGACGCUGAGGCACGAAAGCGUGGGGAUCAAACAGG